rnacentral:sRNA from 2 species
UCAGAGUGGCAAGGCAAUCGAAGUUCCCACAUCGAAGGGCUCAAUCAGUGAUGCGGGUCAUCUCAUGCACAACUUGAGCAUAUUCCCAUCAAUGAAAUUCAGAAGAUCGUGUCGGAACCCCUUGGUACCUCGCUCCCCAUUUCCGGAUCAGCCCAGGCUUCAAGAUCUUCGCUGUCUCCAGAUGCCCCUUGUGCCCUGCAAGACAUUCUCGCUUCGCAGGCCGAGGAUAUCUCCAAAGGAAAGGUCAAAGCAGCCAAAAGAAUAUGGUUGUUGCAUUCGACAUCAACGGUGUCCUUCUCCACGAUGAUAAAAUCACUCCAGAAUCUCGCCGGGUGAGGGAACUCCUCAACGGUGAUAACGAACUUGGUAUCAAAAUCCCGUAUAUGCUCCUUACAAAUGGGAGUGGCAAGACCGAAGUAGAUCGCACAGAACAAAUAUCUUGCAUCCUAGGCUCUCCCAUCUCCACCGCACAGUCCAUCCAAUCCCACACGCCCAUGCAAGCUCGUGCCGAAUAGGGUUUCGCGACCCGCGCUGCCGCAGAGGCGUACGGAUUCAAAAACAUCGUCGUCCCAGGACACCCUCGCCUGGGGCCCCAGCAUCUCUCCUCCCUGGAGAAACUUUACCGAGAAGGACCACAAGCAGGCCAGACCACAGGACUUCGACAAUGUCACAUUCCAUUCCAUUCUUGUUUUCGCCGACUCGCGCGACUCGUGCGACUAUGCCACCAAUUUCCAGAUAACGAUGGAGCUACUUCUGAGUGAGAACGGCCGACUCCGGACAAAGGCCAAUAACUCUCUAGCCAAACAGAUGCCCAUCCACUUCUUGCAGGGCAAUAUCAUCUUCCAAACAGACCACAAGCUCCUGCGGAUGACCCAAGGUCCCUUCCGCAUCGCCCUCGAAACGAUGUACAAGUCACUCACGACGGAUAUCUCGAGCGAGUAGUCUACGCCAAGCCUGAGCUGGCUACCUACAAGUUUGCAGAUGGAGUCACUAUGUUGUGGAUGAAAGAGAUCCACAACGAGCAUAUCCUCACUGAAAACAUCUAUAUGAUUGGUGGCAACCCGGCCUCUGACAUCAUUGGUGGGACCGGCGUUUUCCAGGGUAAGGCCUGAUGAGAACAAUCCAGCCAACUUUGGCGUAUUUGACACCAUGCUGGAUGGGGUGCAAGCUGCCGUGCAGAAAGAGCUGAGCCACCAAUUCAAGCUUCGGUGGGGUGAGAAUGAGGGGGUCAAAUCUGCUCUGAAUGGCGAUAUCAUUGUGUCGGCUUGAAGAAAACAGCAAUUCUAGAAACAACUUUUCCCCCCUCCACUAGAAUUUCUUUCUUUUCCCUUUGUUCUUUCCAUUCCUCUCCUUCUUUGCUUCUGGCAUCUAGGUACAUCCUGGAUUUUUCGAUUCUAGAGCUUCUUUUUCCUUCUGAUCUUCCUUUUCCAUGUUCACUAGUCUUCGCUUUUUCUUAUUUGGGUAUUAGGCGUUGGGCCUCUCGUCAGACUAUGGACGGUUGAGGGUAUUCCGAAACAUUUCUAUAUUUCAUUUUCUCACUCAUGAUAUGAAUGCAUAGAUAAACAGUGCGGAUUGGCAUUGCCGCCACUAGAAAUUCAAUUGCCACAAUAAGGGA